AGAGUUUGAUCCUGGCUCAGAUUGAACGCUGGCGGCAUGCUUUACACAUGCAAGUCGAACGGCAGCAUGACCUAGCUUGCUAGGUUGAUGGCGAGUGGCGAACGGGUGAGUAAUACAUCGGGACGUACCCAAUAGUGGGGGAUAACGCAGCGAAAGCUGUGCUAAUACCGCAUACGUCCUACGGGAGAAAGCGGGGGAUCUUCGGACCUCGCGCUAAUGGAGCGGCCGAUGUCAGAUUAGCUAGUUGGUGGGGUAAAGGCCCACCAAGGCGACGAUCUGUAGCUGGUCUGAGAGGAUGAUCAGCCACACUGGGACUGAGACACGGCCCAGACUCCUACGGGAGGCAGCAGUGGGGAAUUUUGGACAAUGGGGGCAACCCUGAUCCAGCCAUGCCGCGCGAGUGAAGAAGGCCUUCGGGUUGUAAAGCUCUUUCGCAAGGGAAGAAAACUUAGCCACUAA
rnacentral:rRNA from 1 species